rnacentral:rRNA from 1 species
CGCGUCUGAUUAGCUAGUUGGUGGGGUAAAGGCCUACCAAGGCGACGAUCAGUAGCCGGCCUGAGAGGGUGAACGGCCACACUGGGACUGAGACACGGCCCAGACUCCUACGGGAGGCAGCAGUGGGGAAUCUUCCGCAAUGGACGAAAGUCUGACGGAGCAACGCCGCGUGUAUGAUGAAGGUCUUCGGAUUGUAAAGUACUGUCUUUGGGGAAGAACGGUGGGUUUGAGAAUAUUGAGUCCACAUGACGGUACCCAAGGAGGAAGCCCCGGCUAACUACGUGCCAGCA